GAUGAACGCUGGCGGCGUGCCUAAUACAUGCAAGUCGAGCGAAUGGAUUGAGAGCUUGCUCUUAUGAAGUUAGCGGCGGACGGGUGUGUAACACGUGGGUAACCUGCCCAUAAGACUGGGAUAACUCCGGGAAACCGGGGCUAAUACCGGAUAACAUUUUGGACCGCAUGGUUCGAAAUUGAAAGGCGGCUUCGGCUGUCACUUAUGGAUGGACCCGCGUCGCAUUAGCUAGUUGGUGAGGUAACGGCUCACCAAGGCAACGAUGCGUAGCCGACCUGAGAGGGUGAUCGGCCACACUGGGACUGAGACACGGCCCAGACUCCUACGGGAGGCAGCAGUAGGGAAUCUUCCGCAAUGGACGAAAGUCUGACGGAGCAACGCCGCGUGAGUGAUGAAGGCUUUCGGGUCGUAAAACUCUGUUGUUAGGGAAGAACAAGUGCUAGUUGAAUAAGCUGGCACCUUGACGGUACCUAACCAGAAAGCCACGGCUAACUACGUGCCAGCCGCCGCGGUAA
rnacentral:rRNA from 1 species